UAAAAGUUUUAUUUUUACUUGAAAAUUUAUUUUUAAAUUAUUUUACAUAUAAAAUUUUAUUUUAAUAUAUUAUAAUUUUAAUAAUUAUUUUAUUAAAAUUUAAUAGUAGUAAUUAAAAUUAAAAAUUAAAGAAAUUUAGAUUUAGUAGUUUAUUUAAUGUUAGUAAAAAUUGUGCCAGCAACUGCGGUUAUACAAUUAAUGUAAAUAAAUUUUAUUAUUAAAAGUUAAAAUAUUAAUGAAAAUUUAAAUUAUAAUUAAAUUUAUUAAGUUAAAUUUUAAAUUUAUAAAAUUUAAUUUAAAGAUUAUUUUAAGCUUAAAAAUUUUUUUAAUAAACUAGGAUUAGAUACCCUAUUAUUUAAAAUGUAGUUAAAAAAUAGUAGAUUAGUACUAGUUAUAAUCUUGAAAAUUAAUAAAUUUGGCGGUAUUUUAUUCUAUUUAGAGGAAUUUGUUUUAUAAUUGAUGAUACCCAUUAAAUCUUACUUAAUUUAUUAAAAUUUGUAUAUCGUCGUCAUAAGAGUAUCUUAAAAAAGUUUUUAAUACUCUAACAUUUUAUUUAAAAAUUAUGUCAGAUCAAGGUGCAGUUUAUAAUUAAGAAAAAAUGAAUUACAAUAAAAAUAUUUAUUAAUGAAUAAUAAAUUUAAAUAUUUAUUUGAAAGUGGAUUUAAUAGUAAAUUAAUCUAUAGAAAUUAAUUGAUUAUAGUUUUAAAAUAUGUACAUAUCGCCCGUCGCUUUCAUUAAUAAAUGAAAUAAGUCGUAACAUAGUAAAAGUACUGGAAAGUGUUUUUAGAAU
rnacentral:ncRNA from 1 species